GAUUUUCCUAGAGAGCUCUGCAGCGUUUAACUUUGCCUCGCCUCCGUGUCGGGUGCAGGGAUGAAGUUGGGGUGCUCGGGCUGCUGUGGGGCAAUCCAUGUCUCUCAGGCCUGCAGGACCUCAUGCUGGUGUUAACUUUGUGUUAGGACAGUGCUGGAGAAAAAGAGAAGGUUAUUAAGGACGGUGAAAGUAAGACACAGGACCUUUCCUGC
rnacentral:lncRNA from 1 species